rnacentral:rRNA from 1 species
GACGAACCACACGAACGUUAUUCGGAAUUACUGGGCGUAAAGGGCUCGUAGGUGGCCAACUAAGUCAGACGUGAAAUCCCUCGGCUUAACCGGGGAACUGCGUCUGAUACUGGAUGGCUUGAGUUCGGGAGAGGGAUGCGGAAUUCCAGGUGUAGCGGUGAAAUGCGUAGAUAUCUGGAGGAACACCGGUGGCGAAGGCGGCAUCCUGGACCGACACUGACGCUGAGGAGCGAAAGCCAGGGGAGCAAACGGG